rnacentral:rRNA from 1 species
UACGUAGGGUGCGAGCGUUAAUCGGAAUUACUGGGCGUAAAGCGUGCGCAGGCGGUGAUGUAAGACAGAUGUGAAAUCCCCGGGCUCAACCUGGGAACUGCAUUUGCGACUGCAUCGCUGGAGUACGGCAGAGGGGGAUGGAAUUCCGCGUGUAGCAGUGAAAUGCGUAGAUAUGCGGAGGAACACCGAUGGCGAAGGCAAUCCCCUGGGCCUGUACUGACGCUCAUGCACGAAAGCGUGGGGAGCAAACAGG